CUACGGGUUGCACCAGUGAGGAAUAUUGCACAAUGGGGGGAACCCUGAUGCAGCAACGCCGCGUGGAGGAUGACGCAUUUCGGUGUGUAAACUCCUUUUAUAUGUCAAGAAAAUGACGGUAGCAUAUGAAUAAGCACCGGCUAACUCCGUGCCAGCAGCCGCGGUAAUACGGAGGGUGCAAGCGGUACUCGGAAUCACUGGGCGUAAAGGACGCGUAGGCGGGCUUGUAAGUCAGGUGUGAAAUCCUACAGCUUAACUGUAGAACUGCACUUGAAACUACGAGCCUAGAGUAUGGGAGGGGGAGAUGGAAUUAGUGGUGUAGGGGUAAAAUCCGUAGAUAUCACUAGGAAUACCUAAAGCGAAGGCGAUCUCCUGGAACAUAACUGACGCUAAGGCGUGAAAGCGUGGGGAGCAAACAGGAUUAGAUACCCUGGUAGUC
rnacentral:rRNA from 1 species